AAAAUUGCGCGACUAAAAUCUCCUCGGCAUAACAGUCAAAAUGUAUGAUAGACUUAUUCAGUUAUCAUAUAUUUUUGGUGUCUCAAAAUGGACAAACAGUACUAUUGAAGUUUUUCAAGCGAAGGCCUUUAAAGGGAGUAUGCGAGCACACUCAUACAGUCGUGUGGUAAUUUUGUAAACCGCUAAUCGACAUUUGUUGUUGUUGUAAUGCGGUGCAUACUGGCGACAGAGAAGUCAGGCGAAGGAGAGCCAAAACUGAUUUACAACGGUGUCGUUUAAUGAGAUAAACCACCGUCAACAGAACAAUACGUGAAAUGGGUCCAACAAAACCCGGUAAUCACCAGCAUACCGUGCAUAAGCACAACAAGAAACAAUUACGGACAAGGACAUGGGGGGGACAGGGGGUUAAAUACACAACAUGUAAUUGAUGAAAUUGGAACCAGGUGUGAUGGAAGAUGACAAAAACAAUGGAAAAUGAAAAGUGGAUCGGCGAUGGCUAGAAGGUAGGUGACUCCGGCCACUGAAUGCCGAGACUUUGGUGGAAGUCGUGACAGUUGUUUUCACUGAGGAAAUGUAGGAGACUGCUGUUGAUGAUUAUGCAGAGGAUAUCUCUCUGUCUCUCUGCUUCAUUCUUAAAAGUGUUUAAUGUACAUUAUAUACACUCACUUCUAUGAAAUAACAGAUACACUCUGCUUAGCAGAGCAAAAUGCUCUCCCAAUUCAUCAAUGUCGCUCUCUGAACAUCUUUUGGUAAUAUAUGUAAUGAAUCCAUAUUGAUACAGUGAAAGGGAGCGGGACAAUGUUCUUCCUGCGUAUUGAUCAUCAAUCCAUAACUUGCUGUUGGCAUUUGAAAGACACAAAACAAUUAACUCUGUGAAUGAUGGAGACGGACUAAUCUAUCAUAGCUCCUCACCCAGAUCCAGCCGUCUGUCCCACUCCUUCAACCUCUCCCCAUUUAUUUUUAUUAAUGUUGUUCCGUGUCUCUGUCUCUCCCUAUCUCUGAGCGUAUCUAGUCAACUUAAUAAGGAGGAGAGGCAUGGAGUGUUGACACUGUGGACAGUACAGAGAGAGGAACAGACCAGGGCAUCAGCCUCUGGCCUUCAGGACCGCUACAGUACAGAGAGAGGAACAGACCAGGAUAUCAGCCUCUGGCCUUCAGGACCGCUACAGUACAGAGAGAGGCACACUGUGUGUUUUAUUGCUUCGCUGUGUAAAUGAAUUAUUUUGAUGGGGGAAAUGUUUGUGUAGAAACAGCCAGGCUUCUAGACACUCCAACAAUUGUGUUGUCUGACACACAGCUGGUGCACAAUCCUAACUCCUAAUUCUUUCAAAUGUUUUAAUCAACUUUCUCUUUGAAAAAGCUCCAAGACUUUGAAAUGCUUAACCCUUCCUCUCCCCUUCUCCUCUGUCUGUUUGCCGAGCACUGUCCCAAGCUGCAGUUUGUAGGCUUCAUGGGCUGUUCUGUGAUAUCACUGGGAGUCCAUCCAUCUUCCUGAGGUGAGUAGACUUCACAAAAUGGCAGACGUGUAUGUGUGCUGAUGAAACUGUGGAAAUAAUAUUCUCCAAUGUUUGUUGUUGUUGUUUUUC
rnacentral:lncRNA from 13 species